rnacentral:lncRNA from 1 species
GCAUUAGACUCUCCAUGGGCUCCAUAGACUCUCCUGUACCUUACGACUAGGCACAGGAGCGUUUCCCCGGUGAAAUGGAGAAGAGGACACUUGGUCUUUUCAACUUUACUAGGAGGGCUCCUUUCUUCCCAGUCCAAACAUAUGAAGCUCAUUUCUGCCACCCUUCCUAGAAAACUGGUUCCUGACAGAGACAUGUGGAAAGGUUACUACAUGAAGAGCUGGGACUGGAAUACAGGUUUUCUAUGUUCACCUGGGGAUAGCUUUUCCAUCAUCCCUCCUGAGUCUGUGAGGUAUCCCAGUUUUUAAGCCAGAACUUUGAAACCAGAAGUAAAUGGUUAAGUUUAUCUGUCUAUGCCUAUGUGUAUUCUAGCCAAAUAAACCAUGACACUUAAAACAAUUUCAAUAUUUCAAAGAUGUAGUAAAUUUCCUUGAACCUUUUUUAUUGUUUUUUAUAAAUUAAAAAUUAUGAAAUAAUUCAAACAUUUUUAAAAUAGGAAAUAACGUGAUAUGCAUGUACCCCAUACCCAGAUUUAAUAGAUGUUUACAUUAUGCAGUAUCUGUUUCUUUUUUUUUUUUUUUUCUUGAGACAGAGUCUUGCUCUGUCACCCAGGCUGGAGUGCAGUGGCAUAAUCUCGGCUCACUGCAACCUCCGCCUCCCGGGUUCAAGCGAUUCUCCUGCCUCAGCCUCCUGAGUAGGUGAGAUUACAGGCGCGCACCACCAAGUCCAGCUAUUUUUUGUGUUUUUAGUAGAGACAGGGUUUCACCAUGUUGGUCAGGCUGGUCUCGAACUCCUGACCUCGUGAUCCACCUACCUUGGCCUCCCAAAGUGCUGGGAUUGCAGGCAUGAGCCACCGCACCUGGCCUUCAAUUUUUUGAUAGAAGUAAGACAUCACAGGUACAAUCAAAGUUUCCUAAUCUUAUAUUUCUUCUCACACUUCCCAGAGGAAAAUGACUAUUCUAAAGUUAGUUACUUCUAUUUCUUAAUUGUAAUACAUUUAUUCAUAUUCUUAAGACAUUUAUGUAAUAUUGUGUUAAGUAUUUUUGAAAUGUAUAUAAAUGGAAUCAUACAAUAAAGACCCUCAGCAGUUUUUUUUCACUGAAUGUUCUGGUUUCAAGAUUUAUCCAUGUGAAUAUGUGUAGGUCUAGUUUAUUCAUUUUAAUUAUUGUGUUAUAUUUUAUUGUAUGACCAUAACAUUUAUUUUUUCUUUUGAUUGUGAAUUUAAUUUUUUUAAUAUUUAAACAGUGCUGCAAUGAACAUUUUUCCUUAUAUCUAUCUGCUUGUUCCUGUGAGCUUCUCAAACCAUGACCUGAAGAUCGCUACCAGUUCAUAACUAAUUAAGUACAGAAAUUGACAAUAUUAAUUUAGAAACUUUAAUAGCAAUCCAACUGAGUACUUUUAUGUCUAUUGAAUCCAAUAAUACAGAAUAUUGAGUUCUGUAUUUUGUAUGUCUGUUUUAAAAUUUUAUUUUUUUGAGAUAGGGUCUCACUCUGUCUCCUAGGCCAGAGUGCAGUGGCGCAAUCACAGCUCACUGUAGCCUCAAAACUCCCAGGCUCAGGUGAUCGAUCCUCUCACCUCAGCUCCUGAGGAGCUAGGACUACAGGCGCACACCACCAUACCUGGCUAAUUUUUUCACUUGUUAUAGAGAUGGGGCUUUGCCAUCUUGCCCAGACUGGUCUCGAACUCCUGGGCUCAAGUGAUCCAUCCACCUCAGCCUUCCAACAUGCUGGGACUACAGGCAUGAGCCACUGUCCCCAGCCAAAAUUUUAUUUAUUCAUUUUCAUUGUAUUUUACAAACAUAUUGAUCCUCAGCAGCAUGGAAAUAUUUUUAGAAAACUUGCCUUUUUAUUACAGAUAGUUUGAGACUUUCUGCAUGGUUUCUACUUGCAAGUUGAAUUUCUGGCUUGAUGAAUAAGUGCAUCUUUAGCUCUAAAACAUAUAAACAAAUUCCACUCCAGAAUGGUCAAACCAAUUUUCAAUCUCUUCUGCAGUGUAUAAGUUUCCUUUUCCAACAGUUGCAUUAUCAGACCUUUAAAUCUUUUCUCAAUAUGAUAGCUAUGAAAUAUUUUAUUUAACUAGCAAUUAUCUGAUAAAUAGUGACGUUGAACAUCUAUUUAUAUGCUAAUUACAUUCCCAGUUACCUGACUUUAACAAGGCAGGUUUUCCAGUUUGCAAGUAUGGGGAAAAUAUGUCUUUAAAAAUCUAGCUAUAGCAGGCAAAGUAUCAUAACAGGUAAAACUGGUUUUUAAGAAGAAAAGCCUAGGAACAGCUAGCUUUGACUUGAUGAAGGACAGGAAAAACCAGUUGUAGCAAUUGAGUACAUGGACAGAUACUUUAGAGUACAUGUCUUUUCCGGUAUUUUGGUUUUGGGACAAUCCCUCCAUCACCAUUAUGACGUUUCAGUGGAGCAAUUUUCACUAAGAAUUUUGUACCUGUUUUCCAGUUUUGAUCAUCGAUGAUUUUCUGGUUCUAAUGAGAUCAAGGACAUGAAGAGGCUGAGUGCCUCCAUGAGCUUCAUUAUUUUCCAUGAUCUGACCUCUCAUUCUCUUAAGCUUUGGAGUUGGAUGAAGGAAGAACUCUGAAAAAAAGGUGGGAGGGUGUAGGUCCAGGCACCCCCUUGUAAUUCACACUGCCUCAGCCUGAGAGUUUGUGUGUGUGUGUGUGUGUGUGUGUGUGUGUGUGUGUGUGUGUGUUGUUGUUGUUGUUGUUUUUGAGAUGGAGUCUGCCUCUGUUGCCAGUCUGGAGUGCAAUGGUGCCAUCUCAGCUCACUGCAACCUCUGCCUCCCGGGUUCAAGCGAUUCUCCUGCCUCAGCCUCCCGAGUAGCUGGGACUACAGGCAAAUGCCACCAUGCCUGGCUAAUUUUUUGUAUUUUUAGUAAGACGGGGUUUCACCGUGUUAACCAGGAUGGUCUCGAUUUCCUGACCUCGUGAUCCG